UGUGAGGGUAUAUAGAGUGAGUAUGAGAGAAAGAGGGGUGGUUUGGCUGUGAGUUUGAGUGAGAGAGAAAAUAAUGAUAUACAAUUCUCAUUUUAUCAACAUUAUAUCAAUACUUUCUCAUAACAUUAAAACAGAAAUACAUACAGAUAGCAUUGUAUUCAAAGUCUAUACCCAAAACAUAGAACUCUCCUGCUUCAGAAGCUAUCUGCUCGGCCUUCAUAGUGGCCGUCGGCGUCCGUGAAGAGGAUGAGAAGCGGCCGAGGGAACCUGGAGAGGCUGGAACUUGAACUAAAAUGAGGGGAGGCUGAUUCAGUAAGCAAAGGAAGUAACUCUUUCUUCGUAAACGAUCCGACCCGACCCGAUCCGACCCGAUCAACUAUUUAUAUAAAUAUAUUAUAUAAUAUUAAAAAUAAAAAGAAAGAAAAAGAAACCCUAAACUUAUUUCAUUCGCUUUCUCGCUCAUUAUAUUUCAUUGAAGCUUCUACGUUACCGGUUCCCUCAGCCGCCUCUCCUCUCCACGAACGCCGAGCAGUUUUUUGAAGCAGUAGGAGGAUGGAUUCUCAGGUGAAGCACGCCGUGGUGGUGAAAAUUAUGGGCCGAACUGGUUCAAGAGGACAGGUGACUCAAGUGAGAGUUAAGUUUCUUGAUGACCAGAACCGGUUCAUCAUGAGGAACGUCAAGGGACCAGUCAGGGAAGGUGACAUUCUCACCUUGCUAGAGUCCGAGAGGGAAGCUAGGAGGUUGCGUUGAGGGGGAUCUUUCCUCGUGUUGCUUUCUUGCUCUUUCUUUUUGCAGUCCUGUUUCGCUCGGAUACAAAUUUAUCUGUCAGUUUAGUGAAUGGAAGGGGGAGACCAUAAUCAGUCCAUGUCUGUUUAGUUUUAUGUUUGGGACUUACUGUUAUUAGCAUCUCAAAAUUUUGAUAAUUUCGAUUUAUUAUGGUGAAAUCAAUGUGUGGAUUCUGAAAUGCUUUGAAUUGUCAGUGUGAAAAAAGAACUUUCUUUUUUUAAUCAAAUUGAUAGGCUUUGCCUUCUUUACAA